AUAUGGAUAAACUUCUUGCUUCUUUUUUCUGUAGCAAACAUUAAGUGGAAGAAAUUCUCCAGCUAUUGAUUGGAAUAUUAAGGCAUCUGAAAAAAAGAAGUAUGAAGAAAUGUUUUACUCUAUGGGACCCAUUGCUGGAAAAUUGCCUGGGGACAAAGUGAAACCAGUUAUGUUGAAUUCUAAGCUACCUUUAGAUGUUUUAGGCAAAGUAAGUAUUCUAUUGAUA